rnacentral:rRNA from 1 species
ACAGAGGGGGCAAGCGUUGUUCGGAAUUACUGGGCGUAAAGGGCGCGUAGGCGGCCUUCUAAGUCAGACGUGAAAUCCCCGGGCUCAACCCGGGAACUGCGUCUGAUACUGGACGGCUUGAAUCCGGGAGAGGGAUGUGGAAUUCCAGGUGUAGCGGUGAAAUGCGUAGAUAUCUGGAGGAACACCGGUGGCGAAGGCGGCAUCCUGGACCGGUAUUGACGCUGAGGCGCGAAAGCCAGGGGAGCAAACGGGAUUAGAAACCCCCGUAGUCC